AAAACGACUCUCGGCAACGGAUAUCUCGGCUCUCGCAUCGAUGAAGAACGUAGCAAACUGCGAUACUUGGUGUGAAUUGCAGAAUCCCGUGAACCAUCGAGUCUUUGAACGCAAGUUGCGCCCGAAGCCAUCCGGCCAAGGGCACGUCUGCCUGGGCGUCACG
rnacentral:rRNA from 1 species